GGGCAGCCAAUUAAGCCAAACGUGCUCUUUUCUCCAUGAGGGCCCGGUGUGCAAAGGCUGCAAAAAACAGCCUCCUUGGUAGUGUAUUCAGCCUGUUGCCUUAGGUUGCCCUAAGGGAUCUUGGGGACAGCC